rnacentral:rRNA from 1 species
AUUGAACGCUGGCGGCAUGCCUUACACAUGCAAGUCGAACGGUAACGGGCCUUCGGGUGCCGACGAGUGGCGAACGGGUGAGUAAUGUAUCGGAACGUACCUUUCAGUGGGGGAUAACGUAGCGAAAGUUACGCUAAUACCGCAUAUUCUGUGAGCAGGAAAGCAGGGGGUCGCAAGACCUUGCGCUGAUUGAGCGGCCGAUAUCAGAUUAGCUAGUUGGUGAGGUAAAGGCUCACCAAGGCGACGAUCUGUAGCGGGUCUGAGAGGAUGAUCCCCCACACGGGAACUGAGACACGGUCCAGAUUCCUACGGAGGGCAGCAGUGGGGAAUUUUGGACAAUGGGGGCAACCCUGGUCCAGCCAUGCCGCGUGAGUGAAGAAGGACUUCGGGUUGUAAAGCUCUUUCGGCCGAGAAGAAAUCGCACAGGCUAAUACCUUGUGUGGAUGACGGUACCGGAAUAAGAAGCACCGGCUAACUACGUGCCAGCCGCCGCCGUAAUAC